CAAUGUAGUAAUUCAUUUCCUGCACGCUAUUGCUUUUCAUCCUAGCUGUUUAUUUUUUUCUCCCAAUAAGUAGUUAAAAUACUAGUGUAUUAGUGUAAAGGAAUAAAAAGGACUAAAACCUUAAAAAUAUUACAAUUAUUCAAGCAUAAAAAGACUAGCCACAGCUGGGUGAUAUUGCUGUCCCAGAGAACAGCUUAGUCAAUGAACUGAAAUGAAAUGCUUCCCCCCCAGGUGCUUUAGAAGAUGUCACAAUCUCUUCAACAUGAUGAAGCUAACAGGCUUACAGAGAUCAGGGUAAAAGCCAGUUAACGGGGUUAAAAGGUUCAGAAGGCAGAUGCCAUAUUCUCAGCGGUUUCUUUACAGCCACGCAACCCAUUUCUUCAGGAUGAAUAGCUGAACACUCAGCAUGAACAAGCAGCAGAGACUUUUCCCACGUAUCUCUCGUUUCUUCUUUGGUAUUUGGCACCAUUGAAAGACAGAAGGCAAUAGAAGACUGGCAAAAAAAUGAAAUCUCCAGAAAUCUCCAGACUACUAUACUGACAGAUAGAAUAAAGGCAGGGGAAAGGAAGAAAAAGGAGACUAGCUACUGGUGUGAGACUUGCUGUUGCAAACAAAAGAUGGCAGUGAGCUGGAGAUGGACCAAUGGAUUACAAACUUGAAGUAUUUUCCCAAAUGGAGAUGAAUUUAAGAGCAGGCAAUGACAACAGCUGCCUGGAAAGUAGUCAAAAGGCAAUGAGAAAGACUGGAAGGAUGGAAUAGAAUGAUAGACACUAAGUGAUCGCCCAGAUCUGCAGAAUGAUGUUUUCAGGAGAAGCCUGAGGCAGCAUGUGUCAGAAAAAAUGUAUCUCUGAAAUACCUCACAGAAAUUAUUAGUCUGUUAUGCAGCGUGGCUGCAUAUGUGGCUGCACAGAUGGAAGACAAGAAAGUUGACAGAAGACCUACAAGAGGGACAACCUGACUGAAUUAACUUCUAGGCAACAAAUUGAUAUUGGCUUUUUUUUUUUUUUAAUUUAGUCUCUUGCAUUUUUAUCUUACAGUGUACAGUCUGGGAAUAUUAACAGUGAGAUAAUUGGUUAUGUAUUUUUAUCUUUCUUCCCUGUGGCAAAAAAAAAAAAAAAAAAAGUAAUCUGAAAAGAAGAAAGAGCAGAUCAGUAGCAAUGAAAUAAUUCAUCUCAUGUUGUUCUUUUUGUUCUCACAAAUUAAACAACAGAAACCACUUGUCAAUUGACUGCCUUACUACAGGAACUCAAAAA
rnacentral:lncRNA from 1 species